rnacentral:tRNA from 1 species
GCUCGCUUAGUUCAGUUGGUUAGAAUACUUGCAUGACAUUAAGGUCUCACAAGGUUCAAGUCCCACAGCGGCACCA